AAAGCAAAAUAAAUUCAUACAUGUUGUAAUAUAGAUAACCAAAGUAUAAAAUUUAAUUUACAGUGGCACGUGGGCCCACGAAUGACUAAAAGUAUCAAAAGAAAUGAAAACACAGUUUUUGGAUGUGGCUAGUCCAACUAUAGUCCUCCACGAUAUCAGUUAUCUACAAUCUAUUCUAAGCCUGAAAUGGGUGGAAAGGAAGGUGGUGAGAUUAUAAAAUCUCAGUGAGUAAACAAAUAUCAUUUCAAAUAUCUAAAGGCGAGUAAAAGGAGACUAUUAAAACAUUUCAUCAAACUGUAAUUUAUCAUCUUUCAACUUAUUUCAACCAAAUAAAAUCAAUUUAUUUAAAUCAAGAAAUCAGUAUGGCUUAUGAAUUUCUUAAAAGCUUGGCUCAUGCCAAAAACUAUUAUCAAAGUCAGUUAUCUGAGAUAGCUUAGCCGAGGGCUAUCUUAAUUGAGUCCGCUAAGGCUAUUAGAAAGUCAUGUUUUUAUUUUGAAAACCUAGCCGUUCCUUGGCAUUGGCCGAGUUCCCCCUCACGUGGUGAUUUAGUGUGAAGUGAACUCCAAAAGUUAUACCUCGGGAGUUACCCUACUCACCUCUCCAAUCAAGGUAAAAUAUAAUGGGGUUUACGGUGCCCCUCUAAUAGGCUAGUCCACGGAAACCCGCCUACUACAGUAAGCUAAUAAUUAUCCCACCAAUCAAUAAAAUUCAAUAACAUGAUAUGGCAAUUAUUGUAAUUCACAGCCUUUCAAGGCUAAAUACACAUUUCAUAUAUUUCAACACAAAUAUCAAUUUAGCCAUUCAUGCAAAUAUUGUCAUAAGCCAUUCGAUUCAAAUCAUAAAUUUUACAAUAUAACAAGUGGUCUCCAAUUACUCUAUUUUGCAAAAUCAUUAUUCAAUUUCAAGACAAUUUAUAAAAUCUUUUCAUGUAAACACAUUUUGUUUGUAAAACACAAAGAUUUACCAUUUAAACUCAUUUUCAUAAAACUUCACCAAAAUCGAUUAAAAACACACUUUAGAUAAUUAAAAUGAUAGUAAGGUUACUCACAGUACUAGGAGUUCGAUAUACUCCUAUUUCCAGUCUUCGGGCACAAUCUCUUUACCCUUGUUAGAGGGCUCACCACCUAUACAUCAUACGUUACACAAAUUUCAAUAAAUUGUGUCAAUUUAUCAUAAACUAUUUCAGGCUCUAUAAAUCUAUAUGAAUGCAUGAAAUGUGAUGCAAAAUGUCCAAAUAGCCGUUUAAAUACGGUAUUUUACCUAAUUCACACUAUUCUCGGUGUAAUUGGCUAAAACCUCCAAUUUAACUCCAAAUCAAUUUUUUUCACUUUCUACACUCCAAUUAUACCUAAAUUACCUUAGUGACUGUGAAUGAGAUUCAAUUUAUCAGUCCCGUGUCAAUAAUCACACAUGUCUAUACAUCAAGUAAAAAUUCAUAUUUUCACACCAAAAUUUCCCAUUUAAUUUCUAGCCUCACCAAACAUCAAAUAUCACCAAAAUAUCAUGAAAUAUCAUCAAUUUCAGCCACAAUAUCCUCCCUAGGAAAUUCGGCCAUUGAUAGUUGAUGGGGAAAAUGAAUUCUUUUCUUGUUGUUUUGUUUCUAAAUAUGCUAAACUAACUAAAAACACUAACAUAACUUAAAAUCAAAUCAAUCUAACAUCUUUCUCUUUCCAUACCCAUUUUGACCAGACAUGAAUUCACCAUUAAAACUGAAAUCUAACCAUGAAAAAUAAGGAGAAAUGCAUGAGAAAGGUAGAUCACAAGUCAAAAUCAAGAAAUUUUACCUUUGAUUGCUUGAUUCCUUGAAAUCCACCAAUUUUCCUUUGAAUUUUCCCACCUAGGGUUCUUGUUUUUCUUUUCUCCCUUUGUUCUUUCUUUGCUCUUGGUUUGGCAGGCCAU
rnacentral:lncRNA from 1 species